CCUACGGGAGGCAGCAGUGAGGAAUAUUGGUCAAUGGACGAGAGUCUGAACCAGCCAAGUAGCGUGAAGGAUGACUGCCCUAUGGGUUGUAAACUUCUUUUAUAUGGGAAUAAAACGUUCCACGUGUGGGAUUUUGUAUGUACCAUAUGACUAAGGAUCGGCUAACUCCGUGCCAGCAGCCGCGGUAAUACGGAGGAUCCGAGCGUUCUACGGAUUUAUUGGGUUUAAAGGGAGCGUAGGUGGAUUGUUAAGUCAGUUGUGAAAGUUUGCGGCUCAACCGUAAAAUUGCAGUUGAAACUGGCAGUCUUGAGUACAGUAGAGGUGGGCGGAAGUCGUGGUGUAGCGGUGAAAUGCUUAGAGAUCACGAAGAACUCCGAUUGCGAAGGCAGUUCACUGGCCUGCAACUGACACUGAGGCUCGAAAGUGUGGGUAUCAAACAGGAUUAGAUACCCGGGUAGUC
rnacentral:rRNA from 1 species